rnacentral:lncRNA from 1 species
UCUGGGCCAGGCUGCUCUUCUCUGAAGCUUUCUAAUGCCGUUGUAAACCUCUGGGAAAGCUUUCUGGAUUAUUCUCUCACCACAAGCACCCACAAGACAAACCGGACAAGCUGUUAAGCACAGACGGAAGUUGCAGAAAAGUUUAACACUGCCAGGGAGUGUGUCUCCAGAUGCACCAAGCUUGAGUGUGGCUGGCCCCACCUGGCUCAUGUGCCCCUUGGCAGGCUGCUUCCCAUCACGUUGUCCACAACACAUGCACCUGGGUUUGAUGUUAGACUCAAGAAAAGAUCUAUUUUCUUGCUUCCAACACCUCCCCUUGGUGACUCCCUUGGGCCCUCAUCCUCCUCUCCAUUGUUACAUCUCAAUGAGCAGAACCAGGACAUGAAGAGUUGUUCUCCAGUUGGCCGCCUUUUCCCUCUUCCUUGGGCUCCAUCCCACCCGGUCGUGAAGGUACUGUGGAAUCACGACUGCUGACAGCCUCCCUCUGGCCACGCCACCCAUCUCCUCCAUACUUGGACACACUUGCUUCAUCAUCUCUCUGGAGCCCAGUGAGGCUUCACUCACCACCUGCUUUGCCUCCAUCAACUUGAAGCCCUCCUGCCUCCUCACCUUGGAACUGCUCCCCACGGGGAGCCCAUCCUCGGAGCCUUGCUUCCAUGGGAAGGUGACUGUCUCUCCAAACGUCAGCCCAUUUCAAGACUGGAGAUGAUGUUGCAGACACAGAGCUGGUCUUGGGAGCACCCGUAAGAGACAUAUGCGCAGAGCUUCCCGAGGCACACCCACUUGGCACACCAGUGGUUUGUGCCUAUGCAGGGUUUAAAGAAAUGGAGUUUGGAGAAUUGGGCCAAAACCACAAAUGGAAUCAGCCCUUUCUGAUGAAAUCAUCUGAUUUUCUCAGAAAGCUGCUGGAGGUGAUGGAAACUUGGAAAGAUGUCGGUGGCUUUUGAGACAUGGGAUUUGACAAGGGAACUGCAUCCAACAGUUUGUCAGAGGAGUUCCGAGGUGGCUCCUCUGAGAACACCUAUUUUGUUCUUUCCCUUCUCCAUGAUAUGAAGUCUCGCUCUGUCGGCCAGGCUGGAGUGCAUUAUCCAGAGCUGUUGGACAAAUCCAGAGCUGUUAUUGUACCUUCAGGUCAUGUGGAAUGGAAGAUGCUAUGGAAGCUGAUUGGAACUGUGAGGAACUGAAAUCAUCUCCACCUGGAGCAAUUAAACAUGGACCUUGGAAGCCUUGCCUUUGAGAGGCCCAGGGCAACCUGUCCUACCUACCAGCUGCCCCAUCAGGGGGUAAUCCACUGAUCACCUCCCUCUGUUGGCACAGCAAUCCUGACACCUACAUCUGUGGGGCAACCUUCCCUAUCACCUGCACCUUUUGGAAUUUUGACUCCACCGUGGAGCCUAAGUGAAGCAUGGAGUCUGGGAAAACAAAGCAGAAGCCACUUAUUUGAAGAAAGAGAAAAUCCCACCCAUCCUUUCACCGUGAACCUGGAGUCCCACGGCUAGCUGCUUAGCUGGCUGCACUGUCGCGUUAAAUAGUUUCCCUGGAAGAGAAAUUGUCCUCUUAGAUUUUCAUUCGUUUUGUUGUUUCCUGUGGAUUUUGGGGAGAGGAGGAGCAUCUCCCCUGCACAGCUGCAAACUCAGGUUAGCUGGGUUAUACUCCUGUGCCGGAGCUUGCAGCAGGUGAUCAGGCCUGUGUACAUGAGGCUGUGGAGAGGCAGGGUGGGUACUGGGGCCAGGGGACUUCCAGGAAAUAAAGCUCCUACCUGAAAUGAUAAACAGAGGAAUAUAGUUUAGCCAAUUAGAGAGAAAUUAUUUCUAAAAACUCAAUAAAAUGUAGUUUAACCUUUCUCUCAUUUUCUGGUUUAUUCAUUUGAAUUUUAACUCUU